ensembl:lncRNA
AACAGGGUCCUGUUUGAGCCCUGAUUUUGCCACUUCUGAUUUCUGUGACCUCUGGCAGGCUGUUUCAAGUCUCCUAGGCUCAAUUUCCCUACAACUGAAGUAAAAGAGAAAAAAUAACUCCUACUCUUAGAGUGCAAGGAUUAGAGAGCAUGUUUGCAAAGGACUCUCAAGUGGCUGGCACAUAGAAAACGGUCAAUAAAUGUUGGCGAUUCUGAUAGCAAUGGACCAGGCAGAACCUCUCCACUGGCGGCCCUGGUCUGCCCUCCUUUCUGGGGCGAUCCCUCAGUUAGUUCCCGGAGAACAUUCCAGAAGAAGAACAUUCAGUUCCCUCAGAAUCUCUAAGGAGCCCCUGGGUGGAGUCUGUGGCAUCAGGCGGUGCCGUCCUCGCCUCCAGGGGUUCCGGGCUCUCUGGGAGCUCUGCUGCACCGCACUCCAGGGCACCAGCUUUACCAGCCCCCUCUCGGCCUCCCCCCACCAUAAGGGAUCCAGGUCUCGCUGCGUGGCGCCCAGGAAUCCACACACAUUGAACAGGACUCCCUAGGUAAUUUUUUCCGCCUCAUAAAGUUUGAGAAAUAUUGACCUAGGGGCUUGACUGAGGUUGUGAAGGGUCAUUUCAGAGACAUAACAUCCGCUCGUGAAAUAAAUAUGCUCCCUUUUUCUUGGGCUUCUAGCUU